AUCACCUUUAACCCUAAAAACACAGGCGUUCACAGGUGAGUAAAAACGGCCUUUCACCCUUUGAUUUGGUGGUAAAGGUUUAUUCACAGAUGAUCUUUGAUUCGCGUCACAGAUCGUCAAAAGCGUGCAAAGGCGACCUUUACAAAACCUUUAACAACACAUUUGACGCGCGGUAAAGGCGAUUUUUCGUGCCGUGAUUCCCCCUCGUUCGGGUUGGCUCCCCUCCACUCUAACACCUGGAACAGGCUAGGUUUCAGUUGUUGUUUUAGUGUGACUCUGCGCCAUAUUUAACUUUUAAGACGGACUACGACCUUGAACCUGUCUUGUUUUCAGACCUUUUCACACUCUGUAGUCGUAACGUUAGUUUGUUCUUGCUAUUGUUGCCUACAAUAGAAAAAUCACCUUGAGUUCUGAUCCAUGAACUCAAUCAGUGUUUUGCUAUUAUUUCCUGUUCUGUCAUUCUUUAAGUCAUGCCGGCUUCUGCUCAAGUUUGUAUCAUUUUGUUUUUCAGAGGAAAUCAUUCGAAUAUUUUCUUAAACAUUUGGACCGUGUUGGCCAGCUGGAAUACCUGCCUACAAAAUCGGAUGCUCACUAUGCGAAAGCAGCAAAAUACCUUGGCGGCGUCACGGAGAACAAGUUGAUUUUCAACUCUCUUACGUUCAACUUUAUCCACAUUAGUGUUAUUAACAAUAUCCCAAAUUAUAGCCGCAAUUCAGCUA